rnacentral:rRNA from 1 species
GAUGAACGCUGGCGGCGUGCCUAAUACAUGCAAGUCGAGCGAACGGACGAGAAGCUUGCUUCUCUGAUGUUAGCGGCGGACGGGUGAGUAACACGUGGAUAACCUACCUAUAAGACUGGGAUAACUUCGGGAAACCGGAGCUAAUACCGGAUAAUAUUUUGAACCGCAUGGUUCAAAAGUGAAAGACGGUCUUGCUGUCACUUAUAGAUGGAUCCGCGCUGCAUUAGCUAGUUGGUAAGGUAACGGCUUACCAAGGCAACGAUGCAUAGCCGACCUGAGAGGGUGAUCGGCCACACUGGAAGUGAGACACGGUCAAGACUCCUACGGGAGGCAGCAGUAGGGAAUCUUACGCAAUGGGCGAAAGCCUGACGGAGCAACGCGGCGUGAGUGACGAAGGUCUUCGGAUCGUAAAACUGUGUUAUGAGGGAAGAACAUAUGUGUAAGUAAAUGUGCACAUAGUGACGGUACCUAAUCAGAAAGCCACGGCUAACUACGUG